rnacentral:rRNA from 1 species
UACGAAGGGUGCAAACGUUGCUCGGAAUUAUUGGGCGUAAAGCGCACGUAGGCGGCUUGGCAAGUCGGAUGUGAAAUCCCUCGGCUCAACCAAGGAAGUGCAUCCGAAACUGCCGAGCUUGAGUACUUAAGAGGAUCGCGGAAUUCCCGGUGUAGAGGUGAAAUUCGUAGAUAUCGGGAGGAACACCAGUGGCGAAGGCGGCGAUCUGGGAAGAUACUGACGCUGAGGUGCGAAAGCGUGGGGAGCAAACAGG